AUGUCACUCGCGCACAGCAAACUUACCACGCUGACUAAUCGAAAAAUAAUCUCGGAGCGGACACGGAAUGGCGAAACCUCCCCGACGAGUGAUUAUUUUCGCUCGUCGCCGCGAGUAGGAGUGCAUCUAACAGCAGCAAGGAGAGAAGGAAGAAGGCAUUGCUCGCUGGCACAACAUCCUGCAGCUUGCCCGAUAAAAAUAAAAGGUGCCAGUACUGGUGCAGCAGGGUGCGGAGCAUUCCAUCCAUGGCCGUGCCCUCACAGAGGAGCAUCCCUGGCGGCGCCGACUCUGCCCUCGCCAGACACGAAAAAGGGCGCUGCCCGUGGCUCGUGGUCGCGCAAACAGGGGCCCCUUUCGAGUGCAAAGCCGGGCCCCAUUUCCCUUGCAAAGAGCAGAGCAAAGAAGCGCGCGGCCGGCCUCUCGCUCGGAGGAGAGAGACUGCCGAGGAAUCGGUCGGCGGCGGCGGUGGCGACGACGAGAGCGCAGCGCAGUUGCCGGCUCAAUAACCCCAGCUGUUGUUCCCGGAAAAUAUGAUAUUGUGACGACACCACACCGAACGAGUGUAUGGACUUCUAGAAUCAGGGAGGAGGAGCCAGACGAACACGCUCGGUGCACCCGAGGGGCCCCGCGCGCGCCACCUUCGGCGUCCCUUAACGCAGGCAGGGGUGCCAAAUUGGUCAGCAACAACACCAAACAACCACUCAUUCGUCUGGUUAAUUUGAAGAUUUGAAGGGGAGGAAAAUGCUUCUCUCCAUCAAGGAGAGGAUAAAAAACGAUUCGAGAGAUUUCGAAAAACGUUUAGCAUUCUACGUAAAUGAUAACGUCCGCGGCUUGUGGGAAUAAUAAUAGGGUCAGAUUACGGCACUCGGAGAAUAUGGAUCUGGGCAAGUCGUGAGGUUUUCAUUUAAAUUUGUGAAAAUCCAAGUCAUUCAGUUGUCAAUGCAUCUAUUAAAAACGCAAUCUCAACAAAGUAAAUUUGCAUAAAACUUUUUUUUGUAAAUACCAAGAACUUCUAGUGCAUAAUUGAUUCUUUUAUUAAGAAUUGAAAUUUCGAGCGAAAAUAAAUAAUCAAUUUUUCAACAAAAAAUUGUAAAAUUUCAAGCUCUUUUGCUCAAACUAAAUAAGUUUGAUUGUGUGCUCUAUCUAAAAAGACCAAAACUCCAUUAAUUUUUAUUAUAUUUUUUUUUCAUUUUGCCACCUCGGGAGAAUGGUCAGUUUUCAAGAGAACGUCAAUUAAAUUAUCACCUUGGCCAUACUUGCAAAUAAUACAAACGAGCGCUUAAAAGAGGCCCUCCUCGUGACUUUGCAGACGAAAAGAGUCGCUAUUUAAAAUAAUUCACCCUUGGCCUCAAUUGGAAUCUGUUCGCUUCAGAGGUGAUAAGAAUUUUAAGAGGCUCGCACGCGCGAUUACGCGCUCUUUAAUUUCAUUAGCGUCGCCAAUAUCGGGUGAUGUCACCAAGUUGGCGAAACUUUGCAAUCUCACUCCAAACAAUCAAAAAGCAAUUUUUAUUUUUGUGCGUUCAAAACUUGAAAAAUUAAAAUAUAAUUAAUGUUAUAAUUGAAAAAUAGCUAUUCCAAUCAAUUUCAAUCAGUAAAACAAUACUUGAUUUUCAUCAGUGCAAAUUAAAUUGUAAGGCAAACACAUUUAAAACGACUCCACAAAGAGAAAGUACAUCAUGUAUUUAUUUGUACUGACGAAUAUUCCGAAUAAAAAGUGACACUCUCUCUCGAGAGCCCAUCUGCUAAUUUCCACGACAAUCUACUUGACAGACACAACCGGCCCCACGUAUUGACUUUUGGUGCGUCCGAAAAUAAAAGCAGCCAAGGCGAAAUUCUUCUGCCACGGAAUAAAAUAUGUUUAUUGAAAAAGUUUGAUGCUCUCUUAAAUACAAUCGCC